rnacentral:rRNA from 1 species
CAGCCGCCGCGGUAAAACGGAGGGGGCUAGCGUUGUUCGGAAUUACUGGGCGUAAAGCGCACGUAGGCGGCUUGGUAAGUUAGAGGUGAAAGCCCGGAGCUCAACUCCGGAAUUGCCUUUAAGACUGCCGAGCUAGUAGGUGAGAGAGGUAAGUGGAAUUCCGAGUGUAGAGGUGAAAUUCGUAGAUAUUCGGAAGAACACCAGUGGCGAAGGCGGCUUACAGGCUCAUUCUAGACGCUGAGGUGCGAAAGCGUGGGGAGCUAACAGGAUUAGAUACCCCAGUAGUCCCUGUCUCUUAUAC